AGGUAGAAAUGCAUAUAAUUACAUAGAAAUGGCUGCUUUAUCAUAUCAAACUAAUAUUUAUAUUUAGUUGGGUUUUUCUAAGUAAGUACUUGUAAAACAAGUUAAUAAGUGCUAAAAAUGAAUUGGAAAAUUAAGGCUCUUUUUGCACUCGGCAUGCGCUUCCAGGUUCUAGAUUGGAACUCCCAUGCAGAUGUUACGUAUGGACCCUUGCUCAUGGGGUGUUUCUCCUCGUCGCUACUCUCGGAGUCAUUGUCCUUAUUCUUUACUGAGUCCAAAGUUUUCUUUGGCAGAGUUUCACUACAAGAAAAAAGGAGAACAGCGACUAUCAAAUAGCAACGGUUCUAGGCAAACUGCUGCCGCUUCCACCUUUACCAGCUGUUUCAAACUGCCGCAGUCAUCAGUGUAUUACCGGCCGUUCAAACCGCCACUCUUUCUAAAGCGACGGUCAAAUAGCCGCUGUUAUCAAGAAGAAGCACUCUUUCUCCAUAGUUCAAAGACGUCGUAGUUCCGAAUCUUCUAAUCCACAGUUGUUGUGCCUCUCGUCGCCACCGUAGCUGUUCUUCAACAGGUACUCUCCUCUUUCGAUCUAUCAGAACGGACCAGGUUAUCAUCUCCGAUUACUCUCUUGUUAAUUUGUUGUUAACUUGAUUAUGCUGAUUUUGAAUGAUGAUAAUUUGUUAAUUUCUUGGAUUCUUCACAGUUUGAUUUUAGGGUUUUUGAGUUUAUUGGUUUAAUUUCUUGGAUUCUUUUACAGUUUAAUUAUCAGGGUUUUGAUAUUUUGUUAAUUCUCUUGGAUUUCAUAUCUUUGAAUUAAAGCCUCAAAUGAAAAAUUAAACCUUUCAAAACCUUCCCAAACUCUAUCACUCAGAAUCUGGAUUUGGUUACAUACCAAUUUAUUAGUUUGAUUUGUUAUGUUUGUGGAUUGUUGUUUAUUUUUGAAAUUUUCUAUAAGCAUUUGGCAUAAACAGUUGCUAGACUAUUUGGGACAUGUUUAAAAGGGUUUUAAUAUAUGGUUUUAGUCUAAUAGUAGAUCUCUUAAACUGAUAUUUUUUCUGAUAUAGUUAUCACUUUGUAAUUACAUUAAUAUAUGGCCUGGUGCUAUUAUUCAUCAUUGAAUUCAUCUAUGAUUGGGCUAAACAAGAAGCAAUUGCAAACAUCACUUUAAACUAAGCAAGGGAUGGCUGUACAUAUAUUUCAUUCCCCUUUUCCUAACAUUGGAAAAUACAUACUCUUAGUAAUUAGGAAGGGAUGGCUGUACAUAUAGAUUCGUUAAUAUUGAAUCAAUUGAAAUAAGUGGUAUAGAUACUUUCGAGACCCUUCUCUAUUCCCCCUAACAGUGUGUGUUGGUGUGUGAGGGAUAUUUAUAUCAUGUCAAACUAAGGUCAAUUAGGAUUUAGUCAUGCGAAUAACAAAAUCACUAGUUCUUUUUUUUUGUCCGGAUAUAGUAAUCAACAGAUUCCAAUAUAAUAAUCCUUACCUCUUUGAAAGGACUUGAUCACAAACAGGGCAUGCUCCAUCAUUGCUUAACAUUUCAUUGGCAUCUUUAGUGCAUGUUAACUAUGUUAAGGAAACCAUAACUAUGUGAAUAACUACCUGAAUAACAUAACAAAUAGGAGUAGCUACCUAAUUUGAUAUGAACUAUACUGAUUUUAUUUUGAAGUUAAGGAACUCAAGGGCAAAAUUGAGAAAAAUGCAUCUGAGUUUAGGCUAAUAUUUCUGUGGGAAGAAAUUAAAUUGUCCACUUAAUGAUAAGUUGGAUCUAUAAUUUGAGUAGUCAUUACAACCAAGUCAUUACAGCUCCUCCAUCAACUGAUGGGCCUACACCAGCUACUAACCAACCUAUAUCACCUCCAAGUAAUGAACCUGAAAACAACGAUGAAUCUCAAUUUGCAGUCAACAAUCCAUCAAACAAGCCAAAGAAAAAGUCCAUGACAUAUUGGACGAUUGAUGUAAGAGAACCACCAUUUGAGUUCUACGCCAUGGAGGUAGCUUCAGAAGCCAUUUAUAGUUGCACGCACAACUGAAUUGGAGACGGAUGCUUAUAUUGCAUUAGAUGAACUUACUUCCAAGUUCAGAUAUCUUACGAGUUAUGAGUUAUGAGUUAUUCUUCACAUAAUUGAGGCUCUUGCAGAUAACAGCAGCCUGGAGGAGCUUAACCUUGCUGAUAAUUCUGUUCCGACUGAACUUUCUGCUCUACAAUGUGAUUUACCAUCUAAAAGCUGCUCACAGAACCAGGAAGAUAAACUUGAUACUAUGAAAGUGGAUGAUAAUCAAGAGGCAUUUUGCUCUCUAAAUACUUUGGACGAACAACUGGAAGUUGCGUGUUAUGGUCAUGCAAUUAGUUUUGAAAUUUCAAUUAGUCUUGUGAAGUUUUUGAUCUGACAUGCUAUUUCUUAUGAAAUAUGUUAUUGCUAGGUUACUUAUGCAUAUUCAUUUGCUAGUUUGCUUAUGAAGGGUUUUAACUGACAUUGCUAGUUUGCUUAAACACCAUCAUCAAUUAGUGUCUAUCUAUAGAACAUUUAAAUAUAUUCUCAUGCUUAUUGUUUUUAUUGUUUGUUUUGCAGAAAUGCCUAGACCAAGGAGUGAAUUGAUAAACAAUGAGGGUGGGAGGCUUGGAGUUCACCAAUAUAAUGUAGAACUUAUUCUCUUGACAUGGUUCAGGCAAAGGCACAUGGUGCUAAUGUAGUGGAAGUUGCCUAUCCUUAUUGUUUAUCAUGGCCAAAUUGUGAAGGUGGUUUACAUGACGACGAUGUGCACGUACGCACGGUUGCAAGCGUUAAAGCUUGCUUUGGAAUUGGGGCUAUUUUUUUAUAGAAUUGGAUCUCAAGGUAUACCAACAGUAAUUCAAGUGUGAAAUUAGAUGAUCUGUAUAGUUGAUUUUCUAUAUUGCUUUAGUGUGUUAACUCAAAGCAACUUUGAUGUAAACUUGUGAGUAUCGUUUUCUACAUGAAUUGUGAGAAUCAAUUACUUGAUAUGA